rnacentral:sRNA from 1 species
UCAGCGUGGUUCGGAGGGCGACCCCUUU